UACGAAGGGUGGCAAGCGUUACUCGGAAUUACUGGGCGUAAAGCGUGCGUAGGUGGUUUGUUAAGUCUGAUGUGAAAGCCCUGGGCUCAACCUGGGAAUUGCAUUGGAUACUGGCAGGCUAGAGUGCGGGUAGAGGAUGGCGGAAUUCCCGGUGUAGCAGUGAAAUGCGUAGAGAUCGGGAGGAACAUCUGUGGCGAAGGCGGCCCAUCUGGACCAGCACUGACACUGAGGCACGAAAGCGUGGGGAG
rnacentral:rRNA from 1 species